rnacentral:misc_RNA from 1 species
GAUGAAAAAGCCUUCGUAUCAAGCGCAACCAAACUCAGAUGGCGCCUUCCUGGACAUGGACGGGCUGACGAUGAAAGGUACGGAGGAGGAGGAGACGGGCAGAGGCACGUGGAACGCCGGCAAGACUCGCACCAAGGACAAGUACCGCGUGGUGUACAGCGACCACCAGCGCCUCGAGCUCGAGAAGGAGUUUCAUUACUCGCGUUAUAUCACCAUCAGGAGAAAGUCUGAGCUCGCCUCCAUGCUGGGGUUGUCCGAGAGACAGGUCAAGAUCUGGUUCCAGAACCGACGAGCCAAGGAGCGCAAGCAGAUGAAGAAGCGGGACGAGCUCCUGCAGAAGGAGAAGCUAGAGAACGCCCAGUACCACGCGCCCACCGUCACCCCCGUCCCGCCCAUGCCCCCCAUGCACGCGCACGUCUCCUCCGCCCAGCACCUCCCCACGUCGAAGCCCCUCAUGAUGGACGUGAAGCCGGUGUUGGGGCUGGACUGACCCGAGUCUGCCUUCUAUUGGAGCCAGUGACCUGCACCAGACUUCUGACGGAGACGCGCAGCGGAGACCCCGGCGGCGCGAGGAGACGGCCUGGGCGCUUCACGGUGGGCGCGCCGACCGACAAGAGCCGCGGAGGCGAGGAUCGGCGGUCGCUGGUCCAGGACCAUUCCGUGCUUUUCAUCCGUGUCGAGACGUGGAAAUUGUCUGGAAUUCUUUCUUAAUUAAGGUCUACCGAGAGCCAGUGCUUUGUGGUGUACAGUGAUGUGAUCCGCGUAACGGGAAAGACAAUCGUGAGAGACAGUUUACUUACGGAUGAGGUUUCGGUGGAUGUAAAAAAAAAGGAAAAGUGGUGAAUCCCAAGUGAAAGAAAGAACAAGGACAGAACAGUUGGCAGCAAACUUUAUCGGCUCUCGGGUAGCUCCUUCUAAAUUAGAAAAAAAAACUAUCUGUGAAUUCUAUGAAUAAUUUUCUUCGAAACGAGAUCUUACUUUAGGUGAAAAAAGCGAAAGUGGCACAGGUAGAUCAUCCUCGUCGUUGAAAGUCCCAUGUUUCCGUGUCAGCGGUGAAAACGGCCGUCACACUCCUCUCGAGGUGCAACCCGGCCCGCUCGGAGAUGCUGGUGCAGUUGCACACUCCAAUGAAAGGCAAAGAACGUAAUAAUAUGUUUCACUCGACUGUGAAUCGACUAUUUAUGAACAUGUAACGUCAGUGACUAAACAUUUUUUUCAAAAAUCUCAUUACCGCGUAUAAACAAUCGCACGUUAUUUGAUUUUAUUGAAUAGGUAGCAAAGUAUAUUGUUGUAAUUCUAACUUAAUGAGAUGUAGCAGCCUGCGACGACUAAAGGCGCUGUUUCCAAGAGAUUUAUAUAACGGUCGUAAGCAGCCCCAAGGAAGAGAAUUCCUGCUGUUAAAACUUGAACUGCACUCUACCUCCCGACCUUGUUCCUCGGAACGUCACACACUCAACAAACGGGGAAGGAAUUAGAAAUCUGUUUGUAUAUAUACACGCUCAUGUUUUGACUGUUCAGUUUUGGCUGGUUGUGAACUUUUUGACAGUAAGCAAACAGCUGUUUCACGGCUUACUUAGGAGCACCAGUGCAGGCAGAGGGAAGUGAUUGAGUGUAUGUAUGCUAGUGUGUGUGUGUGUGUGUGUGAGUGUGUAUGCGUGUUCGUUUAACUCUGUGUUUGUUUUUUGUUACCCAUCUAUAUC